UCUUGAAAAUAUAAAAGUUAACUCAAAUUUGUAUAGAGUUGAAGCGUUUGCCUACGUUUGCCGCUAGGGGCGCUGUUCCAACUGCAUACAAAUUUGAGUUAACUUUUUCGCUAUCGA
rnacentral:pre_miRNA from 9 species